UACGGAGGGUGCGAGCGUUGUCCGGAAUCACUGGGCGUAAAGGGCGCGUAGGCGGCCUGAUAAGUAGGGGGUGAAAUCCUGCGGCUUAACCGCAGGGCUGCCUUCUAAACUGUCAGGCUUGAGCACAGUAGAGGCAGGUGGAAUUCCCGGUGUAGCGGUGGAAUGCGCAGAUAUCAGGAGGAACACCAAUAGCGAAGGCAGCUCGCUGGGACGUUACUGACACUGAGGCGCGAAAGCGUGGGGAGCGAACAGG
rnacentral:rRNA from 1 species